GGAAGUAAAAGUCGUAACAAGGUUUCCGUAGGUGAACCUGCGGAAGGAUCAUUAUUGAUUUUUCUAAUGAGGAGUUGAGUUGUUGCUGGCCUCUGGGGAUUAGUUUCUCCAAGGCAUGUGCACACCUUCUCUUUCAUCCACACACCCCUGUGCACUUGUGAGACAGUAAGGUUUCUUUUUUUGGGGGGCCUUGCUGUCUACUUAAUCUACACACACUCUAUUUAUUUUAAAACGAAUGUAAUUGAUGUAACGCAUCUAAUACUAAGUUUCAACAACGGAUCUCUUGGCUCUCGCAUCGAUGAAGAACGCAGCGAAAUGCGAUAAGUAAUGUGAAUUACAGAAUUCAGUGAAUCAUCGAAUCUUUGAACGCACCUUGCGCUCCUUGGUAUUCCUUGGAGCAUGCCUGUUUGAGUAUCAUGAAAUCUUCAAAGUAAACCUUUUUUGUUAAUUCAAUUUAGGUCUCUUACUUUGGUCUUGGAGGUUAUUGCAGCUUCACACCUGCUCCUCUUUGUGCAUUAGCUGGAUCUCAGUGUUAUGCUUGGUUCCACUCAGCGUGAUAAGUUAUCUAUCGCUGAGGACACUGGUAAAAAGGUGGCCAAGGUAAACGCAGAUGAACCGCUUCCAAUAGUCCAUUGACUUGGACAAUUAUUUAUGAUCUGAUCUCAAAUCAGGUAGGACUACCCGCUGAACUUAAGCAUAUCAAUAAGCGGAGGAA
rnacentral:rRNA from 1 species